CAUAAGACGAAAGACACCAUAUAAGGAUCUCCGGGAUUGUUGAGCCGACAGGGCAAAUUAAAAACCAUCAUUACAAUCUUUCCGUGGUGAAUCCAGUAAGAUUAAUGAGUUUUGGUUGCAUGGUGAAAGUGAUGCAUGACUAUGUGGCAACAGACAAGGUGAACUCGAUCUUAAGGGUGGUGACAUUGUGUAUGUGAUUCCCUUCCCCAAUCCAGAUGAACAGGAUGACGGCUGGUUAAUGGGCGUAAAAGAGUCACAUUGGUUUCAGAAUAAAAAACUUGCAAAGGCGUCUGCCCGGAAUACUUCACCCAGAAGCUGUAAGGGGAACAACCAUCACCCACUCAAUUAAUCUCCUCGCCCUCUAUGAAAACAUAGUUUUUUAAAAAUUAACCUUAAAAAGAGGUGCUUCUCAAUCCAAUCUUGUUCCUUUUAGAAUGGAAAAAAGUGAAAUGUAAAGAUCUGUGGACCAACUUGUUAUUUCACACUAAUCUUGUCACUAAAAAUGUUUUUGGGUGGACAGCCCCUGUCUGACAUCCUCCCUGGUCAUUUUGAGAGAAAAAAAAUGAUAUCACUGCAUGUGAAAUGUUUACCUACUAUUCAGAAUUAAACAAUAUGCAUCAUUUCAUUUCAUUACAUUUAUUAUUUGUUUUUCAAUGAUGUCUUUAGGUAUAAGACACCAAAGAAUAGAAAUUGAAAUUAUUACAAUGUGGCAAACCACUAAAAGCAAUACGUCUGUCUGGAUAUUUAAUAUAUCUGUUUGGACCGGUGCUUUAUUUUGGAGAAGACGGUCAAACACACUUUUUUUAAAUCUAGGUCUUAUAUCCUCCACUCCCUCGUCGGUUUACAUGUUAGAUCUGUGAUUCAUCUCAAAGCUCUUCAUUUGAAUCUGUUUCAAAUAUUGAAAUGCUUUUUUCGGUUUUGAAUCGAACAGCCGCAGGGGGCAAUUAUUCACUGAUGUUGCACUUCAAUGUUAAGGCUCAUAGAUUUGUAUGAGAAUGACAAGGUGUGAGGGGGAGGUGAUUCUUUGAAUGACAGAUUGCUGAUGUAACAUUUUUCAAAGAUUACAACUUUUUUGACAUGAUGCAACUCCAGGUCAUGUGACCAGUAAAUAUGAAAUAUUUAUUAUGUUGUUACAUAUGACCCACUCCUUUCAUGCAUUAUUGAAAUAUUACAGGGUUUUGUUUGUAUAAAAAUGUAAUGUGUGAAAAUUCAGAUUUUUCCGACCACAGGAACGACAUCUAAAAAAAAUAAUGUCCUUUGGCAUUUUGGUUGCUUGGGACGCCCUGUCUUAACAUGC